rnacentral:tRNA from 1 species
GCUAAUUUAGUUUAAUGAACGUUUAAUUUGUAAUUAUGAGGUAUGUUUAGCUU